GACGAACGCUGGCGGCGUGCUUAACACAUGCAAGUCGAACGGUAAGGCCUUUCGGGGUCAUACGAGUGGCGAACGGGUGAGUAACACGUGAGCAACCUGCCCUUGACUUCGGAAUACCAGCUGGACACAGCUGCUAAUACCGGAUAUGACCCUGGUCCUCCUGGACUGGGGUGGAAAGCUCCGGCGGUCAGGGAUGGGCUCGCGGCCUAGCAGCUUGUUGGGGUGGUAAGGGCUCACCAAGGCUUCGACGGGUAGCCGGCCUGGGGGGGCGGCCGGCCACCCUGGGACUGAGAUACGGCCCAGACUCCUACGGGGGGCAGCAGUGGGGAAUAUUGCACCAUGGGCGCAAGCCUGAUGCAGCAACGCCGCGUGCGGGAUGACGGCCUUCGGGUUGUAAACCGCUUUCAGUAGGGACGAAGCCACAAGUGACGGUACCUACAGAAGAAGGACCGGCUAACUACGUG
rnacentral:rRNA from 1 species